GGACUACUAGGGUUUCUAAUCCCGUUUGCUCCCCUGGCUUUCGCGCCUCAGCGUCAGUAGAGAUCCAGCAGGUCGCUUUCGCCACCGGCGUUCCUUCCGAUAUCAACGCAUUUCACCGCUCCACCGGAAGUUCCACCUGCCCCUACCUCCCUCAAGUCUCGCCGUAUCCAAGGCCCUUUUCCGGUUAAGCCGAAAGCUUUCACCCCGGACGUGCGAGACCGCCUACGCGCCCUUUAAGCCCAGUGAAUCCGAACAACGUUCGCACGGUUCGUCUUACCGCGGCUGCUGGCAC
rnacentral:rRNA from 1 species